GACGAACGCUGGCGGCGUGCUUAACACAUGCAAGUCGAACGGAAAGGCCCUGCGUUUGUUGGUUUCUCGAGUGGCGAACGGGUGUGUAUCACGCGUGUAACCCGUCCUUGACUGUGUGAUAACUUCACGAAACUGGGGCUAAUACCGCAUAUGAGCUCCUGCUGCACGUUGUGGGUCGGAAAGUUUCGGCGGUUGGGGAUGGACUCGCGGCUUAUGAGCCGGUUGGUGAGGUAGUGGCUGACCAAGGCUGCGACGGGUAGCCCGCCUGAGAGGGUGACCGGCCACAUUGGGACUGAGAUACGGAGCAGACUCCUACGGGAGGCAGCAGUGGGGAGUCUUGCAGAAUGGGCGGGAGUGUGAUGUGGAAACGCCCGGUGCGGGAUGACGGCCUUCGGGUUGUAAACAGCUUUCGAAUGUACCGAGGCGGGAGUGACGGUACUGAGUAAAGAAGCAACGGCUAACUACGUG
rnacentral:rRNA from 1 species